AGGAGGGGCAUUGUGGCUUAGGGUAUAGGGUCUCGGCUUUCUGACAGGAAGUUCUAGGGUUCGAAUCCUCGUUGGUCUCCUUUGGUUUUUCCUUCAAGUCCAGCAGCUGGAAACUUAUCCACGGAUGGAAGGACCUCUUUCCACAACACGAUUAAGGUCAAUAAAACGGCGUCGACGAAAAAUAAACCCACGAUUACUACAGAUUACAGAAGAAGUGUUUGGAGUAUGAUGAAUUACGAAGAACAGAAAAGGAGGAGUAUUAAAGUUUUAGUAGUAGUGUCCAUACGUAAGACCAUAAAUUACGUACGAAAAUGACGACGAAUUAAAGAUCGAAGAAUUGUGUGUGAAAGGUGUGAGAACACCAAAAAUAUUGUCUCGUGGUAAAACCACUGCCCUUUGUGGAAAAAUACAAAAAUACAAAAAAAACGAAAAACACAUAAAAGAAAUAAGAAAUAAAGAAAAUCAAAAAAAAAAAUAAUUUUCAAGAACCCUCUCGAGAUGCCCUACUCUCUAAAAUGGGGAAAAAACAAAAACACGAAUAAGGGAAAAAUAAUCAGGAGAACUUCCAUGCCCAUAAAAUGGAACCCCUAACACCGAAG
rnacentral:sRNA from 1 species